AGUGGGGGAUAACACGGGGAAACUCGUGCUAAUACCGCAUACGUCCUACGGGAGAAAGCGGGGGAUCGUAAGACCUCGCGCUAAUAGAUGAGCCUAUGCCGGAUUAGCUAGUUGGUAGGGUAAAGGCCUACCAAGGCGACGAUCCGUAGCUGGUCUGAGAGGAUGAUCAGCCACACUGGGGCUGAGACACGGCCCAGACUCCUACGGGAGGCAGCAGUGGGGAAUAUUGGACAAUGGGCGCAAGCCUGAUCCAGCCAUGCCGCGUGUGUGAAGAAGGCCUUCGGGUUGUAAAGCACUUUAAGUGGGGAGGAAGGUCUGUGGCUUAAUACGCUAUGGAAUUGACGUUACCCACAGAAUAAGCACCGGCUAACUCUGUGCCAGCAGCCGCGGUAAUACAGAGGGUGCAAGCGUUAAUCGGAAUUACUGGGCGCAAAGCGCACGUAGGUGGUUUUGUAAGUUGAAUGUGAAAGCCCCGGGCUUAACCUGGGAAUUGCAUCCAAAACUGCACGACUAGAGUAUGGGAGAGGGAGGUAGAAUUCCAGGUGUAGCGGUGAAAUGCGUAGAGAUCUGGAGGAAUACCGGUGGCGAAGGCGGCCUCCUGGCCUAAUACUGACACUGAGGUGCGAAAGCGUGGGUAGCAAACAGGAUUAGAUACCCUGGUAGUCCACGCCGUAAACGAUGAGAACUAGCCGUUGGUCUCCUUGAGAGGUUAGUGGCGCAGCUAACGCGAUAAGUUCUCCGCCUGGGGAGUACGGCCGCAAGGUUAAAACUCAAAUGAAUUGACGGGGGCCCGCACAAGCGGUGGAGCAUGUGGUUUAAUUCGACACAUGCGAAGAACCUUACCUGGUCUUGACAUCCACGGAAUCCUGCAGAGAUGUGGGAGUGCCUUCGGGAACCGUGAGACAGGUGCUGCAUGGCUGUCGUCAGCUCGUGUUGUGAAAUGUUGGGUUAAGUCCCGUAACGAGCGCAACCCUUGUCCUUAGUUGCCAGCGAGUAAUGUCGGGAACUCUAAGGAGACUGCCGGUGACAAACCGGAGGAAGGUGGGGACGACGUCAAGUCAUCAUGGCCCUUACGACCAGGGCUACACACGUGCUACAAUGGCCGGUACAGAGGGUUGCCAAACCGCGAGGUGGAGCCAAUCCCGAAAAGCCGGUCGUAGUCCGGAUUGCAGUCUGCAACUCGACUGCAUGAAGUCGGAAUCGCUAGUAAUCGCAGAUCAGAAUGCUGCGGUGAAUACGUUCCCGGGCCUUGUACACACCGC
rnacentral:rRNA from 1 species